rnacentral:rRNA from 1 species
AUGUCAGUGGCGGCACCGCACCGCGUCACUUUUCACCGCCCCCAGGAAAACCAGCCUUCUCCCGCCCGCCUUAUUGGCUCGCUGUCUCCUCCCCUCCUCUCCCCUCGCCGUCGAUCGACCGGCCGACCGACCGAGAUGGCGCCGGCCGCGCGUCUCCGCCUCCUCGCCUCAUGCCGCCUCUUUUCGGCGCUUUCCGGGACGGUGCCGCGGUGCCGGCGAGGUCUCCGAGGCCUGAGCACGCUCUCCUCGACGUUGGGGUCGGGCGCCGGCGAGGACGAGAUCGAGCGCAUCCGCCGCGAGUUCGAGGACGCCAAGCGCAACUACCUCAGCAUCCCGGACGCCAUCAAGGACAUGCCCAAGAUGAACCCGCAAGGCAUUUAUGUGAACAAGAACGUCAAACUGGACGACCUGCAAGUCUAUGGCUUCGACUACGAUUACACGCUGUCGCACUACUCCGACCACCUGCAGUGCUUGAUCUAUGAUCUCGCCAAGAAGCACCUGGUCAAUGAGUUGAAGUAUCCAGAGAGCUGCUUGCAGUACGACUACGACAGUAGCUUUCCUGUCAGGGGCCUUUACUAUGACAAACUAAAAGGGUGCCUUCUGAAGCUUGAUUUCUUCGGUUCUAUUGAACCCGAUGGCUGCUUCUUUGGAAGACGAAAGCUAAGUUCAACUGAGAUAAAAGAACUCUACGGCACAAGACAUAUCGGAAGAGAUCAAGCUCGUCAGCUUGUUGGGCUGAUGGAUGUUUUCUGUUUUAGCGAGGCAUGCCUCAUUGCAGAUAUUGUUCAGCACUUCGUAGAUGCCAAGCUGGAGUUUGAUGCUCCUUAUGUAUAUGAGGAUGUAAACCAAGCGAUUCAGCAUGUCCACAGAAGUGGUUUAGUUCACAGAAAAGUUCUUUCAGAGCCUCAGAAAUUUCUGUUAAAAAAUAGCCAGGUGUUUCGUUUCUUAAAGACCCUACGAGAGAAGGGGAAAAAGCUGUUUCUUCUUACCAACUCACCUUUCUACUUUGUGGAUGGAGGGAUGAGUUAUUUACUAGAGGACCAGCAUUUUGAUGGGAAUUCCUGGAGGGAGCUUUUUGACGUUGUGAUUGCGCAGGCAAAUAAACCAAGUUUCUAUAAUUCAGACCACCCAUUCAGGGUGUAUGACACUGAAAAGGACACCUUAGCAUUUACUGCAGUUGACAAGUUUCUGCCAAAUGAAGUCUAUUACCAUGGAUGUUUAAAAUCCUUUCUGCAGAUUACAAAGUGGAGAGGCCCAGAGGUGAUAUACUUUGGUGAUCAUCUUUUCAGCGACUUGAGAGGGCCUUCCAAAGCUGGUUGGCGAACAGCUGCCGUUAUUCGUGAACUUGAGGAUGAAAUAGGAAUCCAGAAUGGUGACAGCUACCGGUUCCAACAGGCAAAAUUAGGUAUAAUACAUGAUCUACUUGGAAAGGUUCAUGCAACUGUGGUUAGCACCGAGAAAGGCCAAGUUUACAGAACAUUGCUUGAUGAGUUGAAUGCAGAAAGGCGUCAAUGUCGAUCUGGCAUGCGAGAUCUGUUUAAUAGUUCUUUUGGUGCAACAUUCCUUACAGACACAGGAAAGGAAUCAUCAUUUGCCUAUCACAUUCAUCAAUAUGCAGAUAUCUACACCAGCAAGCUCGAGAACUUCUUGUCAUAUGCCCCUGAAUCAUGGCUUCAUCCACCUCACGACAUAAAGAUCAUGCCACAUAAUGCAAAGGUGCCAGCGAGUUUGUUCAGCACCUCAUAG